UAGUAAUAUUGGUUUUACAUUUGCAGGGCUUAAUGUUUUUUUUAAAGGUUUUGUUUGUGGGAGAUUAAGAUGGAGGUGGAUUAGAAAGAGGUUUAAAUGGAGUGUUGAUAGGAAAUGAUAAGUUAAGAAGAAGACGAUGGAACAGAAGGCUUUGAAGUUGCAGGAAGUAACUUUUGUUUUUUUAGUGCAAAUAUUGGAUGUGGGUUACGCAUUUGUUUCUACUUCUGUCGUAAUGUCAUCAAUUGAAACCCUAAUUUGUGGCCGGUGUCUGCUACAGUGGGUGGAUAUUUCGAUUAAGCUGGUGCUGGAAGUGGCGCAAAGUUGGUGGUGAAUAAGGUUAGAACGGCUUGUGGAUAAUCAAUUGGUUCUCAACAAUUUUCCUCCUAUCACUGUAAGCGUCUAUUUUAAUAACACCAAAUCUUAAUCUAAAAAA